rnacentral:rRNA from 1 species
AUGCACGCUGGCGGCGUGCCUAAUACAUGCAAGUCGAGCGAACGGACGAGAAGCUUGCUUCUCUGAUGUUAGCGGCGGACGGGUGAGUAACACGUGGAUAACCUACCUAUAAGACUGGGAUAAUUUCGGGAAACCGGAGCUAAUACCGGAUAAUAUUUUGAACCGCAUGGUUCAAAAGUGAAAGACGGUCUUGCUGUCACUUAUAGAUGGAUCCGCGCUGCAUUAGCUAGUUGGUAAGGUAACGGCUUACCAAGGCAACGAUGCAUAGCCGACCUGAGAGGGUGAUCGGCCACACUGGAACUGAGACACGGUCCAGACUCCUACGGGAGGCAGCAGUAGGGAAUCUUCCGCAAUGGGCGAAAGCCUGACGGAGCAACGCCGCGUGAGUGAUGAAGGUCUUCGGAUCGUAAAACUCUGUUAUUAGGGAAGAACAUAUGUGUAAGUAACUGUGCACAUCUUGACGGUACCUAAUCAGAAAGCCACGGCUAACUACGUG